UUAAGUUCAGCGGGUAUCCCUACCUGAUCCGAGGUCAAGAGCAAAAGUGUAGGCUUAAUGGACGCAAGCGUUCAAGUCGAGGGGCGCUCAAUUUGCUGCGCUCCCAGGCUAGUACGCCGGCUGCCAAUUGCUUUAAGGCGAGUCCACGCAUAAAGCAGGACAAACACCCAACACAAGCAGAGCUUGAAGGUACAAAUGAC
rnacentral:misc_RNA from 1 species